UCACUCUCAAUCUUUUUUUGGAACUCGGUCAAGACUUCAUUUUUAUUACCUCAUUAGAGUGUGGAUCAUCCUAACUAAAACUGUGAGCUUUGUGAAAGCACACAUCCCAUCUGUCUGGAUCACUGUUGUUCAAUGUCUGCAUCAUCUAUCGCUGUUCAUCAAUGCUAGCACAGCAACUGCAUCAUGGAAGACACCAAUGCUUGCUGACAGAAUUAAUGGAUUCACUAUUCGGAGCCCCCAAUUUGCCAUUUGUUACUUGUUGUGAAAAUCAAAUGGGAUCUUUGUGAAAAUACUUUGUAAACUAUAAAGUUCUGUAAAUCUUAGCAUCCAAAUGAGGGAGACACUGUUACUUCCCCCUUUUUACAGAUAAGAAAAGUUUAAAUGGCUUAAAAAAAGAAAGUAUAAAGAAUUUAAAUGAUUUGUCAAGGGCCACACAGGCAGUAAGUUGGCCAAAAUCAGACUACAACCCAGGCCAGUUGUGAUUGUGAAGACCAGAGACAAGAAACUAUAAGUCUGUUUUUACCCAUGUUUUGUAAUGGGGAAAACCAGAAGAGAGAGGCUGGUCCUAAGAAUUGAGAUCAACUAGGGUAGGCUAGGAAGGAGGAUUGGCCUUGGCUUCUCUUCUAGAAUCUUAGAAAAUUAGGACUAAGGGCCAUCAGCCUAUCUAUUUGGUAAUGUUUGUUUGUGUCAGGCACUUUGAAUGUUUUCUGUGUCAGGCACUAUGCCAAGCAUGCCAAGCACUUUACAUGAACUAACUUCUUUUAUCCUUGUAGCUCUAGGAAGUAUAUAUUGAUAAUCAGAUCAGAAAACUAAAGCACAGAAAGGUUAGGACACUUGCUGAAGGUCACACAGUUGUGUGGUGGAACUGGGUUUGGAAUUCAGAAUCAGAGCUCCUAACUCCAAUGCUAUAAUGCAUAGGCCCUGGAGCUUGACAUGAGAUUAGCGAUAAGGUCCUGACACUUAUCUGCUAUAUGAGUUUGAGUAAAUUACUUAAUCUCUCCAAACCUCAGCCCCCUUAUAUGUAAAAUAGUAGUGGUAAUAAGCAGUCACAAGGUGGUGGUAAGGAUAAAUUAGAUGAUUCUUGUGGAGACUAUAACACAGUGGCAUACCAAGUCCUGAGCAAAUGUUUCCCCCACCUCAUCAUCACCCCUAACCAAAUAACUCAAGCAGUGUGGGUACUUUUAACAAUGAUGAUUUAUUGAAAGAAGUGACUCUUUUUCCUUCCCCACCACAUGUAAUCUCCAUCCACAGGUCCCCAUUUUCAUCUGUCUUCCAGGGCAAGGAGUUCCAGUCACAUCUUUGAAGAUAGGAAGUGAUGAGAAAUUAUUAGAGAAGGAUGACCCUUAAGAUAAAUCUUCAUCUGAAAAAUGGACAAAAAAAAUUAUGCAUGAGACCUGCUGUUUUUGUGACCUAGGUUUGCAGACUGCAAUUGAGAGGUGACAGUUCCCAGUUCUGGGAAUCAAUAAGCACUUGAAAAGAGCGAGCAAGGCUAAAAGCAUCCCAAGGAUUGUGGGUGGAUUGGACAAAUAGUAACUUCUGAACACAAAUGGCUUACUUCUGAAGUUUAUGUUGAUUCUGUUGUGUUAGUUAGUACGUUAAUUAAUAAAUACAACCUAAUUUAUAAUCAA